UCAUGUUUUGAUUAAGUAAUUUUUUGGGUUUCUACUUUAUCAAAUCAUAGUUUGAAUAUCUCCAUUAUCCUUUUUUCUUUUCAAGAUCGUCUAUUUCAAGUACUAAAUUAAAAACUUAGUACUUAGUUAAUGGAUGGUUCUCCUUCGUUUAGUUUAGGAUUAACUCAGUUAGAGCAUACCGAAAUAACAAAUUCGGUAGUUGGGUUUGUUCCCAGAGUAUUUGAUUACGAGAAACCUAACUUUGUUGAAAAUAGAUCAAAAAAUCAUAACGACCCCAUCAAGAUGAAAAAGAUUAACAAAGCUGCAUCUUCAAAGUCGAAAAAACAAAUUGAAGAAUCCUCAAGGAAAUUCAAAAAAGAUGAUAAUGGACGGCCACGUUUACCAAAGGGUGUAAAAUACAGGAUAAAAAAUGUCCCUUCGCAUUCAUUGCAUUUCGAUAGUUAUUGCAACUGCGAAUUUGGAUCAGAUAUAAAGAAUUAUGCUGGUGAAGGAGUUCACAAUCUUUUCCAUCAAAUAAUAUUUGGUUCCUUUCUAGACAUGCCCCAGUGUAAUUUUCAAGAUCAGACUUUGUGAUAAUAGAGGAUGAAAGGUACGAACAAUUCUCAUGGGGAAAGACUUCAUUUCAAAAGCUGAUUGCAACUUAGAGACAAGAUUUCUUUGUUGAAAAACAGCUAUAUCAGAUCGAGAGAAUACCUCAUGUGUUGAAUGUUUGGAUGUAUGAAUGUUAUUUUGAGGUUGAAAGUACGAUAGCUGAGCGAAUAUGGAAUGUAAUUUCAAAAAAUUUUAACUGAAAGGUUGUUGGGAUUAAGGUCAAGUAUGAGAAGUUCAAGGGUGGUAUGUUCAAAAAGUUUGUAUACAAUAAUUUACGACCAACUCGUGAAGAAGUGCAAAGACUUGAUUUGCCAAUGAUUGCGGGCAUUGAAUUAAAUGACGUUGAAGUUGCCUUCUCACAUGUUACUUCUCCCAAUCAUAUUGGUAAAAGGCCUGUUGUCAACAUACAUAAUCAUUUGGACUCCAAAUAUCAAAGAUUUUGAGGAUUUCAGUAUAGUCUCACCACCAGAAAUUCUAAGAAAGGAGGCCUGCGUACUGAUGCAUCAGCAUCACGGCCUACGAAGAGAAGGAGGACAAUUCAUUUUGAUACUAAAACUGUUAAUAUGUCAGAUCGUGAGAAAACACCAUCUCCUGUUUCAAGAAGAAAUAUGCCAACAGAUCAAACAUGGACUUCUAAUUCACAGCGUAUUGAUGCACCAAAUACAACUCCAUCAUCGUCCAUCAAGUCUGCUCAUCAGGCAACUUCUGAUGAAUAGUGGCACGAGAUAAAGUCAUUCUUACAGUCUUAUGUAAUUUUAUCGAUAUGGUAAACAAUAUGUAUAACCAAAUUGUGAAAACAUUAAGAUGUUUAUUGUCUUUUUAUAUGCAGGUUGACCAAAAAUUCACCUUUCUUCAAGAACUAAUGGCUAAACAACAUGAAGACUCAAACGACAAAAUGGAUAAACAACACAUUGAACUCAUAAACAUGUUGAAACACAACAAACACACCACUGAAAAGGAUGAAGAAGUAGGAGGUUUUACAACGGGAGAUGCACCAUCACUAGACAAUGUCGAAGAGAUGGAUAUCGUCGCAAGAUUUAAAGAGAAAGAGAAAAAGAAUCUGCUCAAGUCGAGAUAGAUGCCACAAUGGAAGGUCUAGCAGCACUGGUGAAUGAUAUUCCUCUAGAAGUUUUUAAACCGGUAGAAGAAAUUGUUAACCCGCAUUUCAUACCUGAUAGUCAGAUUCCUUCAGUUUUUUCUAAUGCAGUUGUUGCGGCUCAUCAAGCUAUAAAACCCCUGCUAAGAGGACUAGGACAAAAUCUAAAGUUUUCAAGUCACCAUAUACAACAGAGUAUGCUUCUGGUUCAAAGGACCUUGAGGAUGAAACCACAAGUUUGAAACAAAAAUUUGUAUUUGAAGAUUUCACAAUAUCUAAUGAUAUGCCGAGGGAUAUCAUUGAAGAGUACAAGAAAUGAGUUGAUGAAGGUCUAUUGAAGUUUCAUUCCAAAAAGAAAACAAAUGAUGACCACUACAAAGCAAAAUCAUCUUCUCUUGGAGUUAAUGAAUUCGACUUUGUUGUUGCUCAUGCUUGGUCUAAAAAUUGAGUUUACUUGAUGUCUCAAAUAACUUCAUGCUCGAACGAUGAGAUAUUUUUAAUUUGAAUUUUUUUUUUUAAAACUUUCAUAUUUACAUACAUAUAUGAAAGCUUAUU